UUUAGCGACGGUUUAGCGAAUUAUACCAACUCUGACGCUUUCUUGAGCCUCAUCCGCAAUUUCGCCGAGUUGAUGCUGCAUAGCGUACCACAGAAUGAAGCUUUACUAAAUCAACCAGAGGACAACCUGCCACGUUAGUUUGGAGUUCAGAGAGAGAAGAAAUUGUGUGGAAACAUUUUGACUUGAUCAGUAAGCCAAAUCAACACUAUUAAGAGAUGUGCACCUGAGGGGUGUGACCGGGGCGAAGCCAUCUGGCACACCUGGGAACAGUUUACGAGCCACGCCUUUAGACUUGCAUCUCUGUCUCCAGCAUGUGUUCCUGUUCCCUGCGUACUUUUUGGCCAACUUUUUUCCUGGACUUUUAUAAGUACUUUUGUUAGCUUAUGCUAUUCCUGCCUUGUGCUCCGUUUGUUACCUUUUACUGCUUUUGGUUGUACUUUGUGUAUUUUGGACCAUUUUUCCACUCAGUUUGAGUGCACCUUUUGUUAAAUGUUAAUUUUUGUUAAGUCCUUUUUGUUGUCUCUGUUAUGGGGUUAAAGUUUUUGGAAGUUUUUAAAUAGAUGGCUAUAUAGGCAGAAUAAGUAAAGUCCAUAAAAUGCAAUUUUUUUCUGCUUUGUGCUAGCUGUUUUUUUUUUAUAUUUAGAACACACACAAAAUAGAAAGACGUGCACAAUUGGGACAUGGGCACAAUUCCAAAAAGUGCAGUUUUCCUUUAAAUUAAUUCUGAAAUUCAUCAAAUAAGCUUUUGUACUUCUCCUGCUGUGAAAAUAAUCUUGCCAUUGUUGUCGACUUUUUCUAUUUACAUUGGUCUUUUAUGGCAUUUUAUUCAUCACCAUGACCCACCUCCACAUGAGAAACAGUCCAUCAAGCGAAGCAGUCUUUCAUGUUGAAUGUUACUUUUUCAUCAUAAAUCAGAUGUUGACAAAAUAAUAUACUUGCAUAAAAACGCCCUCAAUCACAAACAGUCAGCUAUAGUUUUGUGCAUUCUGUCCUUGUGCGCUUGUUCACAAGCGUGCCAAGUGUAAUCCCUCAGUCUCUUUUGGAACAUGUGGCCCGCGGAUAAUGUCCCUGAUGUUAUGCAACUUUUAUUUUUCCUUCCUGUCCUUUUUUAAGGUUAUUUUAGUUUCUUUUGGUUGAGCUAUUUUAACACACACAUCCAAAUCUAGGCCGUUUCGCCUCAAUCUACGUUUG